GCUGAGGUGGUCUAGUGGUAUGAUACCGGGACAUGGAGGUCGCCGGUUCGAAUCCGGCUCUCGGCA